rnacentral:Y_RNA from 1 species
GGCCGGUCCAAUGGUAAUGAGUUAUCAGAACUUAUUAAUAUUAACAUUAGUGUCACUAAAGCUGGUUGGUAUACCACCACCAACUGCUAAAUUUGACUGGCUUAAA